rnacentral:rRNA from 1 species
CCGGCACGGUGAGUAACACGUAUGGAACCUGCCCGCAGCAGGGGGAUAAGCGGAAGAAAUUCCGUCUAAUACCGCGUAACAACGUUGGGAGGCAUCUCCCGAUGUUUAAAGAUUUAUCGGCUGCGGAUGGCCAUGCGGCGCAUUAGCUAGUCGGCGGGGUAACGGCCCACCGAGGCGACGAUGCGUAGGGGUUCUGAGAGGAAGGUCCCCCACACUGGUACUGAGACACGGACCAGACUCCUACGGGAGGCAGCAG